rnacentral:lncRNA from 1 species
UUUGUCAAGGUCUCUGUUUCCUCUUUCCUAUAGUAUCCUUUACAUGUUUCUACAAUGAUACUUGCUGAACAUAGUUCCUGCAAUGUAGUACAGAAAAUUACUAUUUCAUUGUGAGUCUGUGACUAAUAGGAUAAGCUAUGCAUUUUAUUUCUGAACUUACAGCAGUUCCAAUGCUUAACUAAAUGCCUAAAGUGUUACUUUUGCUAUAUUUGUCCUCCAUAUGGGGAACCUUGUCCUCAGGAACAUGGAAGAAUCUGUAGUUCCUAGGCUAAACUUUUAGUUUUACCAAUGAUAAGAUAGCCUGCCUACAAUGCCCAUACGACCACUACUUAUUGUCUUGAUGACAUGAUCGAGUCCGUACCAUGAUUGCUUUUUCCCCAAAAAGAUGGCGAUUGCUUAAUUCAAGUGCACAAUAAUUGGCACUCUCCAUGCAAUGCUCAUCCUUCACAAAAUCCAUGUACCUGAUCCAAGGAAACUACUAUUUCGUUGUAUGUACCCAAUCUAUGUAGUACCAGUAACUUUUUCUGACUUUUUUUUUCUUCUGUGUAUAGGGGUGCGACGCAUCCGUGCUACUGGACAACAGUAGCAGCAUAAUCAGCGAGAAGGGGUCCAACCCCAAUCUGAACUCCCUCCGCGGGUUCGAGGUCGUUGACCAGAUCAAGGUCGCCCUUGAGACAGCCUGCCCCGGUACUGUCUCCUGCGCCGAUAUCCUCGCCCUCGCCGCCCGUGACUCUACUGUCCUUGUAUGUGCACACCAAAAAUAAUUCUUUCCAAGAUAGCAUGAAUUAAACAAUGCGUCCAGUAUUUGUGAUUCUUUGGGACCCAAAUUAACCUGCAGGUUGGUGGCCCUUACUGGGACGUGCCGCUCGGCCGCAGGGACUCUCUGGGCGCGAGCAUCCAGGGAUCAAACAAUGACAUCCCUGCCCCCAACAACACCCUCCCCACCAUCAUCACCAAGUUCAAUCGCCUCGGUCUCAACGUCGUCGAUGUCGUCGCCCUCUCAGGUGGCCACACCAUCGGCUUGUCCCGCUGCACCAGCUUCCGGCAGAGGCUGUACAACCAGUCGGGCAACGGCCUGGCAGACAGCACACUGGAUGUGUCCUACGCGGCGCAACUAAGGCAGGGGUGCCCCCGCUCUGGCGGCGACAACAAUCUCUUCCCACUCGACGUUGUCAGCUCGACCAAGUUUGACAACUUCUACUUCAAGAACAUCCUUGCCGGUAGGGGUCUCCUCAGCUCUGACGAGGUCCUGCUUACCAAGAGCGCGGAAACAGCAGCACUCGUGAAGGCGUACGCGAAUGAUGUGCAUCUCUUCUUCCAGCACUUUGCACAGUCGAUGGUGAACAUGGGCAACAUCAUGCCACUGACUGGGUCACAGGGGGAGAUCAGGAAGGACUGCAGGAGGCUCAACAACUAUCACUGAGUUACUGAAGCUCCUGAAAGUGCUGAAUUGUGUGGGAAGUUGGCGCCAUAUUUUGUUUGAAUAAGCAAGUGUGGUUGUAAUUUUCAAAAUCGCUUGAUCAUUUGUGUUAUGUAAUUGCAUUAUGAAAUGUGUGUAAUAAUAAUUCAAUAUAUAAGAUGAGUUCACUUGUUUGCUUUAGAGCUGGUUGUUUGACAUAACUUACCAAGUUCUGACUUCCAAAUUUCACUCAUGGUAUACAUCCACCUAUUGUUCAACAGCUCUCGUGGUACUCCAGCUGUGCUGACUUCAAGAUUUAUCAUCUGUCAAAAUAAAAUGGAUCAAAAAGAAUUAGUCUUUCAAGAUACUUAUAAAUUAUUGAUUCAAUCUUGUUAUGCCUCCAAGAAAUAUCUCGGACGGUUAUGGAACCAGUAUAACUAAAUAUGACUUGACCAAGUUUGCGCUGAUGACCACUAGGAUACACCACAUCGUAUUGCUGUGCCAUACUAGGUUAAUAAAACAAGUAAACCUCCUAAUUUCUAAAUGAAGAAAAUCAGGUACAUGUGAUUCUUUUCAGCACAAGUUGUUCAAAGCUAGCAGCUGUGUUAUCUUUUGAUGACAGCUGGAGAAAUCAGGAUGCCAAUCAAACUGGAACAAGAGCAAGUGAGGAGAAGUGCCCAAAAAAGAGGAGUCCAGUCUCCUCCCUUGCUCAUCGGAAGAGCGCAACCUGGUGCAUGUAGCUCCCGCUUGCGCAGGGUCCAGGGAAGGGUCCGACCACUUUGGGUCUAUAGUACGCAGCAUUUCCCUACAUUUCUAUAAGAGGCUGUUUCCAGGACUUGAACCCAUGACCUCAUGGUCACAAGGCAGCAGCUUUACCACUGCGCCAAGGCUCCCCUUCUGCUCAUCGGAAGAGCAAGCAAGGAAUUAUCACACAGUAAACUAGUCGUGCCAAGUUUCACCAUAGUAAUCAGAGAUGCAAAUCAUGAUUGCAAAAAUAAAUUCAAGGAUCUGUGAUGUUGAUAUUUCAUCAAACAGAUAGGUAUAGGGCAACUUGCAUUGCAAACCCUCAGUUCCUGCUUUCAUACUACACUAAUACUGUUAGAACUCAUGGACGAGAGGUGUAAUCAAUACCGCACAGGAUACUUGGUUCCAGCAGAGAGGAAUUUAUUUGUAGACUCUAUGCUUGAAGUCACUCAUUAGCUGAGAACCACCAGCUCAACAUCCAGAGAAGCUGGGAGCAAACUAAGGCAUUUCAUAAACUGGUUGCUUCGGGGAAUUAGUUUUUUGAGCUUCUUGUGUCAGGGGUUCAUGAUAUUUCUUUACAACACCGAAAAUGACACGUAGGUUUCUUGAAAAUCAUAUUUUAAUUUCUUGAAAAUCAUAUUUUAAUCAUGUUUAUCUGAAACCAGUAAGUUCCCAGAUAGUUGUGGCUAACCUCACCCGGUUGAAUUAAAAGUUUUUUGAAAGAGUAAAGACCAUCUAAUAAAUGGCCACAUAAAUCUAAGUAUAGAGCAAGGGUGAUUGUGUUCCGUUCAUAUGUACAAGGUUCCAUUUUCAGUUUGUACAGGGGCAAAUGGAAAGGCAGACUACUAGACUAGCCGCUUUAACAUGUAUUAACAGAAUCUAUAUGUGAAGCAGGAGACAAGAGAAUCAUUACAUUGUCAAAGAUUUCAAAGGAAAGAUAUUCGAAUAGGGCUAGAAAGUGAAAAUAACAAGACAAUGAGGGAACAAAGAGCAUAUAGUUAAACUAAUUACCUGCAGGUCCAUUGCUCUUACAAGCUUUC